rnacentral:rRNA from 1 species
GGCGCACGGGUGAGUAACGCGUAUGCAACCUACCUUUAACAGAGGGAUAGCCCCGAGAAAUCGGGAUUAAUACCACAUAACACCACAUUGUUUCAUGACAGAGUGGUUAAAGCUCCGGCGGUUAAAGAUGGGCAUGCGUGACAUUAGCUAGUUGGUGAGGUAACUGCUCACCAAGGCAACGAUGUCUAGGGGUUCUGAGAGGAUGAUCCCCCACACUGGUACUGAGACACGGACCAGACUCCUACGGGAGGCAGCAGUAAGGAAUAUUGCGCAAUGGAGGCAACUCUGACGCAGCCAUGCCGCGUGCAGGAAGAAGGCCUUAUGGGUCGUAAACUGCUUUUAUUUAGGAAUAAUCCCCCCAACGUGUUGGGGGUUGAAGGUACUAAACGAAUAAGCACCGGCUAACUCCGUGCCA